rnacentral:rRNA from 1 species
AACGAACGCUGGCCGCAUGCCUAACACAUGCAAGUCGAACGAGACCUUCGGGUCUAGUGGCGCACGGGUGCGUAACGCGUGGGAAUCUGCCCUUGGGUUCGGAAUAACAGCGAGAAAUUGCUGCUAAUACCGGAUGAUGACGUAAGUCCAAAGAUUUAUCGCCCAAGGAUGAGCCCGCGUAGGAUUAGCUAGUUGGUGAGGUAAAGGCUCACCAAGGCGACGAUCCUUAGCUGGUCUGAGAGGAUGAUCAGCCACACUGGGACUGAGACACGGCCCAGACUCCUACGGGAGGCAGCAGUGGGGAAUAUUGGACAAUGGGCGAAAGCCUGAUCCAGCAAUGCCGCGUGAGUGAUGAAGGCCUUAGGUUGUAAAGCUCUUUUACCCGGGAUGAUAAUGACAGUACCGGGAGAAUAAGCUCCGGCUAACUCCGUGCCAACAGCCGCGGU